ensembl:snoRNA
ACCCAUUUCUAGUUCAUAAGCAUGAUAAUUGGGUUUUCAUGCGUUUGUGUGGCCUGUGGCUCCCAUAAACUUUGUACGACACCGGCACAUUAGCCAUCUCUGUUA